AAUUGGGAAAUUUGCCUGUAUCUUAAAACCUCUGUUUCAAAGUUUCCUGCUAUGCUGGCGCCAAUCUAAUGAAAUUACAAUCUUCUGUGCUCAGCCUGACUCACUGAGGAGGACAGCUCCCUUCAAAGAAGGCCUUCAGGUGACCUGCAGGAAGCCCUUGGGGAAAAAUGGAGCUAAAGAAGACAAGGCUUAUACAGAGCUGAGUAAAAUAUGGCAGUAACCUACGAGUUCUGGAUAGAUAAAGUUUUUUAACUGCUAUAUGUGAACAUUAUUAUUACUAAUUACAAAUAUUAAUAACAGUGAUUUCAAUGUUUUCAUUGUAUUAACCAUGAUUUAAUGCAUAUUCCCUGAAUGCCAGAUGCAGUGCACAGUAACAUAUUUUAUUUAUCCUGCAGCAACCUCAUGAGAAAGAUGCUGUUACCACCAUCAUUUGUUUGGAUGAGAAAAUUGAAGCUCGGGAAAUUAGGAACUAUGCAAGGCACUAUGAUGAGGAAUUGGUGGAACCAGCAUUGAAGUCCAGGUUUGUUUUAUGCUGAAGCUUAUAAUCCUAAUAUUAUACAAAAGCCUGUUAGUUCCUUCAUUUACCAUCCCUUAUUAAUUAGUCAUACUGGAACCUGAGCCAGGUAAACUCAUUUCUUUCCAAAAAGGAGUACCCUAUCCUAUGACAGAAAGGAAAAAAUCAGCAGCUGGUUAUUGGUAAGAUUUGGUAGAAGAUCAGAAUUUCACUGGUCUAACAAUCUGUUUUCUACUCUACCUGUUUUCUAUAGGCCUGAGAUUCCUGUGAGUUGCCACAAAACGACUGUGUUCAAUUUUCACCUUGUAAUGUUUAAGAGGAUACAGGGGCAGUGACAGAAGAAGACAACUCUUCACCAUCAACAGAGCUAAACUGCUUCUUAGGAAUAUUUCCUGACAUCACAUAGUAUCUGACAAAUUUGAAACAAGACAAAACAUUAAGGAGAAAAGAAGAGUGAAAAAAAAUCCUCUAUUAAAUAAAAUGUAAAUGUGAGAAGGGUAAA